ACGAAAGAAGCUUAGUGCGAACGGGUGAGUAACACGUAGGCAACUGCCCAAAAGAGGGGGAUAACACUUGGAAACAGGUGCUAAUACCGCAUAACCAUGAACACCGCAUGAUGUUCAUGUAAAAGACGGCUUUUGCUGUCACUUUUGGAUGGGCUGCGGCGUAUUAACUUGUUGGUGGGGUAACGGCCUACCAAGGUGAUGAUACGUAGCCGAACUGAGAGGUUGAUCGGCCACAUUGGGACUGAGACACGGCCCAAACUCUACGGGAGGCAGCAGUAGGGAAUCUUCCACAAUGGACGAAAGUCUGAUGGAGCAACGCCGCGUGAAUGAAGAAGGCCUUCGGGUCGUAAAAUUCUGUUGUCAGAGAAGAACGUGCGUGAGAGUAACUGUUCACGUAUUGACGGUAUCUGACCAGAAAGCCACGGCUAACUACGUGCCAGCAGCCGCGGUAAUACGUAGGUGGCGAGCGUUGUCCGGAUUUAUUGGGCGUAAAGGGAACGCAGGCGGUCUUUUAAGUCUGAUGUGAAAGCCUUCGGCUUAACCGAAGUAGUGCAUUGGAAACUGGAAGACUUGAGUGCAGAAGAGGAGAGUGGAACUCCAUGUGUAGCGGUGAAAUGCGUAGAUAUAUGGAAGAACACCAGUGGCGAAAGCGGCUCUCUGGUCUGUAACUGACGCUGAGGUUCGAAAGCGUGGGUAGCAAACAGGAUUAGAUACCCUGGUAGUCCACGCCGUAAACGAUGAGUGCUAAGUGUUGGAGGGUUUCCGCCCUUCAGUGCUGCAGCUAACGCAUUAAGCACUCCGCCUGGGGAGUACGGUCGC
rnacentral:rRNA from 1 species